rnacentral:lncRNA from 1 species
UGCACUAGUAUAUAUAAAAUGCUUGGUUAAAAAUGUUAAAUAUCAAUAUAAAUGAGAAAUGGAUAUAAGUCUUGAAUAUAUACAGGCACUUGAAGGGGGAAGAUAUACAGUCUCUCAACUUAAAAAACCUGAUGGCCGUAGAGCAUGCCAUUGAACAUGGCCUCGACAAAGUCCGAGACCACCAGGCAUGAAUAAUAUAUCUGUACAUUCAUUCAUACAUCUCUUCGUACAUUCAUAUUCAACAACUCUUGUAUGGUCUGUUUGUCUCAGAUGGAGUACCUCAUGACGAAAAGGAGAAAUGUGACCAUAUAAACAAAUUUCUAUACCUUACUAUUUAGCCUUCAGAUUGAUUAUUAAUUAGUGCUUACAGUUACAUCAAACAUUUUCUGUGGCAGGAAAAAAUGUUGGCGGAGGAGAAUCGGCAACUCAGUUUCCAGCUGGUACAUUUAAAGUCAUAUAUCCUUGAAGCCUUUAGCGUUAUUGAUUUGGUUUAAUAAUAUAUAUAUUAGUAUGUUUGUUGGGUUUGAUAUAUGCAGCAACAACAGGAGAUGGCUAUAGCUAGCAAUGCAAGAGGUAUGAUGAUGAGGGAUCAUGAUGGACAAUUUGGAUACAGAGUCCAGCCGAUUCAGCCAAAUCUUCAGGAAAAGAUUAUGUCGUUGGUCAUCGAUUGAUCAUUAGAGAUUUGAUGCAAUCUCAUUACCAAUCUACUAUCUAAUUCGUGGCUCUUUGUCUUUAUGAAUGUGUGUGUCUCUAUCAGACUUUUAUUUAGCUUACAUGUGUGUUGUUUGCUUAUGAAACCUCUAUGUAUUGGUUGUGUUGUAUGCCAAACUAAACGUUUGAAACUAUUUAAUUAUUGCAUGUGUGUGAAAACUAAUUAUUCUUUACUAAGCAAUACGUGAUUCGGGAGGUUUCUUUUUGAAAAGUUAUAAUUGGCCUCCGUGCUAGAAUUUUUUUGGAUCACAUUCAAGUUGUAUAAUGUUAUUAGGACUUAGGACAAGAUGCCUUGAGAGUGAUCAAACACAAGCCUUUAGUUCAAAAAAGAGUGAUCAAAAACAAUUUAUUAAACCGAAAAAGACUCAAAACUAUAUUUUAAAUGUAAUAUUAUUACAUGUAAACUGUUCUGUUCACGUUUGUGUCGUAUACAAUAUUUAUUCCCUAAAGUUUCUUUUAAAAACAGAGUUGUGUAGAAUCAAUCACACAUGCACCCUCAUGUUUAGCCUUCUCAACCAAACGGAGUGAAGAAUCAUUCGAAGCAUGUCAAACGGUUGGGACGGCCUAUUGAUAACGAAAUGUCUCUGGACCUGCAAAACUCUUCUUUGCAACACCUUGUAGCGUCUCAACGACACGCUCUUUAGUAUCGUUUUGAUCUCUGGGAUCUUCUCAGAGGGGACAUGAAUGGUGAACUUACUCCAAUCAAGAACGUCUGAGAAGGGCAAGGCGUAGUGAUCAGAGAUGAUGACAGGGACACAACCUAAGCUAAUGGCUGCUACGACUCGAGGGCUAGCCACUUCGUAGCCACUAGGACAGAGACAGAACCUUGCCUUGGCCAUGAGCUUGAAGUAGUCUUCCUUUCUUGGUAAGUACUCAUGGACUUGGACCUCAUCGUCUUUGUCUUUCCAAUGCUGCAGUAGAAUCUUGCGGAUAUUGCCGUGUACGCGGCCUGCAAAGAAAGCAAGGAUGGGUCGGUCAUGGCCGGAAGAAUUGGAUAACCUAGGUGGGCCCAGUUGGCCCAGGGGGAUGUUGAUCUCCGGGAUUGAGACAUCUCGUUGGGGCAUGAAACCUUCCGAUGUGUUGGCGUUGCAGAGAACUCUUAUCAUGUUUUUCAGCAGCUCCGGAUCCGAUCCCGAAACCUCUGGUGCCUGUAAGACGUUUUAUAAAUGUUGCGUGUUAGACACGAUAAGUAGGACCGGCUCAAAGUUUUUUAGACAACUUUGGACAGGAUUUUUUACAAGUUUUUAAUAACAAAAAAAUAUUCUACAACAACAAAUUAGUCUGAGUUUCUCAAACAAAAAAUAAAAACAAAUUAGUAUGAGUUUUCUCAAAGAAAAGCAAAUUAGUAUAAGUGAAUUAUUUAAUACUAUACGAUACUGUAAACAAUAAAGGUAGUUAAUUUUUUUAAAAUAAUAUAUUUAACUUUUUAAUAAAAAUGUUUUUAAAAAAAAUAAAUCAUUUUUUGACACUGAAAAAUUAAUUAAUUUUUUUUGAACUUUGGAAGCAUAAACUAUUAUUACAUAGAGGGUGAAAGCAUGGCCGGCUCAAAGUUUUUUAGGCACUUUAGGCAAAAAAAAAUUUAAAAGUUUUUAAUAGCAAAAAAAAAUAUUCUACAACAACAAAUUAGUAGUUUCUCACAAAAAAAAAACAAAUUAGUAUAAGUUUUCUCAAAAGAAAAGCAAAUUAGUACAAAUGUCUCUAAAAUUAUUUAAUAUAUGAUACUGUAAACAAUAAAGUUUGGUUAAUUUUUUUUUAAAAAAAAUAAGUUUUUAAUAAAAAAAAACUUUAAAAAAAUUAUAUCAUUUUUAACACUGAGAAAAAUAACUUUAUGAAGAAAACGAACCCAAUCAUGGCAAGAAACGAAGAAAUGGUCGGCUCCGAGGCUUCUAUUCCAAUAAGGAUACUUGUGAGUCACGACACUGACGUAGUCAAGAAACACUUUAUGAAGUUGUUCUCUUGAGUAGGUCACGAGCGGGUGGUAUAGGUACUCAACGACGUUGGCGACGCUAACCGGGAGGAAGAAGGUGUGAGCCUCGUCAGGGUGACUAGCCGCGAAUGGGCUCAUCCCUCUUUCCAUCUCGUCCACGAAUUGGCCUUCGAUGCUGUAUAUGUUGUUCAUUGGACCUAUAUGUACUAACGGUGUCUCUCCUUCUUUGUACACCCACACUUUGAAUCUCUUUUCCAUCUCUAUAUGGCUUCUGAGCAGUUCCAUAAAGAAAGUGUUAGUUGGCUUGGUUGAAUUAGUUCAUAGGAAAUACUAUAAUUUGAUUCUUAAAGUAUUUAUUUGCGGUCUUAAUUAAUAUUUGAAAUUAGCAUUCCAUCAAAAAAAAUUAUGUACUUAAGAGUAAUUAAUUAUAUUUUAUUAAAGAAAAUAAAACGGGAAUAAUUUGACUUAGCAACGUGCAAAGAAACCUGAUUUAAAAGUCAAUAAGAAAAGUAUUAGGUUGCAAUUCGAAGGUAUUAGGUAACCGAGACAUGUGAGACUACAAAUACCAAAGCAAGCUUUAAGUAUGCGCUACGUUUCGUGAAUACUAAUUUUUCCAUUGCUAAGUUGACUCUAUGCUACACAAGUAAAUACAAUCAUAGAAUAAGACUAACCAUUUAUCAAUCAACUGAAUGAAGUUUGCAUACAUUUUCGAAGUUUAUGCAAUGUUUAUGGAUUUUACGUAAUUAUUUCGAAAUUUAUUUAAAUGCAAUAGUUUAUACGUAAUUAUUAAUGGAGGUAUAAUAUGCAUCAAAGUUUGGGAGAAUUUUCAUUUUCGUAUUCGAUUUUUUAGUUUCUAUUACCUUCAUUUUGUGUGUGUGCUAAUAUAAGAAACCAAAUCAAAGGAAAAGUAUAUUAAUACUUGCCUGCAUUAGUAUUAAUUACUACUUAAUUAAUUAGGUAAAUCAGUCUCCAGUUUAACGAGAUGCAGAGAUCAAAGAGACGAGGAAGAAUUAAAACUAGACCCGAUCGCUCGUUUCCCAAAGCAAACGAGUUGGUAAACCAAGAAAAUCAAAUUUGUACGGACUUCCAUUAAAAAAUUUACUCGAAAGAGUCAAAUACAUCUAUAUACAUAUGUAUAUUAAUUAGUAUAUAUAUAUAUGAAUAUCUAAUGGGAUAUUUUUGUAGAAUUUGAAUACAUCAUAAGACUUUACAAAUUGUAUGUAAUGCAUAUCAAAUGAAAAGUCAUUUUCAAUGAAAAUUCAAAUGAGAAAGAAUUAAGGAGGGAUUAAAGGGUUACUAAUUAUAUGAAAAUUGAUACUCCUAUUGUACACUUACGAAACCUAGGAAUUUAUAAGAAACGAGUAAGACGACAGUUAAAUAAAACUGAUAAUGUAAAAAAUGUCAUAUCUUUAGCUUAAAGUUUAUUUUCUUUGAAAACUAUACAUAGAAUUUUUUUUUUUCAAUUGCUAAUAUAUAUAGUUCAAUACUUAAUUAUUUUACUUUAUAGUUUAAUUGGUCAACUCUUAUUAAUUAGUUACUAGUUUCAAUUUUUUUUUAAAUAAGAGAAAAUGGUGGAAAAUGAAACUAUUUUUUUUUUAUCAAUGGAAAAUGAAACUCUAAAAAGUGAGAAAGAGCGAGAAAAAAUAAGAAAAGAAAUGUAGAAAAAGGAAAGAAAUUUACUGGUGAAAUGCAUAAGCGUUUCUGUAAACGGUUCCACGAGGAACAAAAGUUUUUUCUUUCUCAAAUGCAUACUUCUUCGACGUCAUGGCUUCACGUAUUGCCGCUCUUGAUUUCGCUAAACCUUUCUCAAUUCUAUUCCUCUUCUUUUCUUUCUUUUUAUCGCAAAAAAUUACACAUUUAGAAACGAAUCCAUAGAUAACUGAAUAAAAUCAUUUGGAUUAGUAAAAAACUGAUAACAAACCUUUUGAGCACCCGGAGUUAAUGUGACGUUUGAUGAAAGAAUGCUAAACUCCAUGGACAUGGACGGUGAAGGAGACGGUGCGAGAGAUGUAGCAUGGAAAAUGUUAAAUAUCAAUAUAAAUGAGAAAUGGAUAUAAAUCUUGAAUAUAUACAGGCACUUGAAGGGGGAAGAUAUACAGUCUCUCAACUUAAAAAACCUGAUGGCCGUAGAGCAUGCCAUUGAACAUGGCCUCGACAAAGUCCGAGACCACCAGGCAUGAAUAAUAUAUCUGUACAUUCAUUCAUACAUCUCUUCGUACAUUCAUAUUCAUCAAC